rnacentral:lncRNA from 1 species
ACACAUCAGCGAUACCUUAUUUCAUUUCUCUGUAUUUCACAUAUUCUUCCCAUACGCCGGUACAACCAAUGCCACGUAUGGGGCCUGUCAACACGCCGGAUAACCUACGCCACGUGCGACCAUGUCAUACUAUCAUUAUAUCUCCCCAUACGCCGGUACAACCAACGCCACGUAUGGGGCAUGUCUCAAAGCCGGAUAACCUACACCACUCGAGACCUGCACAUCAUAUCACAUAACUCCCCAUACGCCGGUACAACCAACGCCACGUAUGGGGCCUGUCCCAACGUCGGAUAACCUACACCACGCGGGACCUCAACAUCAUAUCACAAAUCUCCCCAUACGUGGCCAUACGCCGGUACAACCAACGCCACGUAUGGGGUCUGUCGACACGCCGGAUAACCUACACCACGUGCGACCUCAACACAAUAUCAC